CAGUAGCCGCGGUAAUACGAAGGGGGCUAGCGUUGCUCGGAAUCACUGGGCGUAAAGGGUGCGUAGGCGGGUUUUUAAGUCAGGGGUGAAAUCCUGGAGCUCAACUCCAGAACUGCCCUUGAUACUGGGAAUCUUGAGUAUGGGAGAGGUGAGUGGAACUGCGAGUGUAGAGGUGAAAUUCGUAGAUAUUCGCAAGAACACCAGUGGCGAAGGCGGCUCACUGGCCCAUAACUGACGCUGAGGCACGAAAGCGUGGGGAGCAAACAGGAUUAGAUACCCCCGUAGUCCCUGUCUCUUAUAC
rnacentral:rRNA from 1 species